GACGAAGGUGGCAAGCGUUGUUCGGAUUCACUGGGCAUAAAGGGCGCGUAGGCGGCCACCGCAAGUCGGUUGGGAAAUCUCCGGGCUUAACCCGGAAAGGUCAAUCGAUACUGCGGGGCUAGAGUGCAGAAGGGGCAACUGGAAUUCUCGGUGUAGCGGUGAAAUGCGUAGAUAUCGAGAGGAACACCUGCGGCGAAGGCGGGUUGCUGGGCUGACACUGACGCUGAAGCGCGAAAGCUAGGGGAGCGAACGGG
rnacentral:rRNA from 1 species